UACGGGGGGGGCAAGCGUUGUUCGGAAUUACUGGGCGUAAAGGGCUCGUAGGUGGCCAACUAAGUCAGACGUGAAAUCCCUCAGCUUAACUGGGGAACUGCGUCUGAUACUGGAUGGCUUGAGAUUGGGAGAGGGAUGCGGAAUUCCAGGUGUAGCGGUGAAAUGCGUAGAUAUCUGGAGGAACACCGGUGGCGAAGGCGGCAUCCUGGACCAACACUGACACUGAGGAGCAAAAGCCAGGGGAG
rnacentral:rRNA from 1 species